GGACUUUGAAUGUACCAUGUACUUCUGUCUGUCCCCUUCGUGUUUGUGCGAAGUAAAACCUCCACAAAAGCUAAGUAACUGUCUCUGAGUCAUUAUUCAUUAUUUCUGUGUGCUGGAAACUGACGGGGUAACGAACUAAAAUUUUAUACAGUCCUUUCUAGAAAAUCCAGUUUCCUCACAUUUGGUCCUUUCGAGCUGGCCGGCGCGCGCCCUGGACAUCGCUGGAACCCCUGGGGGGGGGGUUGCCCGAAAACCAUGCAUGGUCUGAGAUCACAGUCUCAGUAUUGACACAUCCGCCUUCAGGAUCAGCGGCCCUCGCCCUUUGGAUCCGGCGAUGCCCCCGACGUCGUGUCGGACCCUCAUCAAAUAACGGGGUUCAUUGCUUGAAGUGAGUACGCCACACAGAAAGUCUGUCCUCUCUUUACUUGCUAAGGUUUUAUGUUGACUGUGUCUGUGUCUUGUGUGUGGGCGCAUCAUCUUUUGGGGAAGAACAGAGAGAACCGCGUGCAGUAACAGUGCUGCGCGUGCACGCUGACCACAGGAGCGCUUGCGGUCAGCCUGCUGCGGGUGCAUGUGUCCUCCUUCACGGGUGAUGACAGGGAGAAGUGUGUAGCUUAGGAACAGAUUCGGUUACGUCGCAGGCUGUGUGCGCGACUUAGGGAAAGGUUCGGUUGAAACGCGUCGAUGACUCUGUGAACCGACGUUUGGGAAUAAACGAAGCUCCGGGGAAUUCAUGUGUGUGUAACGUUUUUUAUGUCUCUGUCUGUGUCUGACUGUGCUUUCUGCGACGGCUUCUGUGGGGUGUGCUCGCUUUUAUUAAUGCCUCAUGAUUGCUUUGUUUAAUGCCUCGUUCUAAAACAAAAUAGUGACUCAGUUGACAAAUAAUUAGGUUUCUUUUCUGAUUCUCCAAGCUUUUUCUGCUGAUUAGAUUCAGCGCUGGAGAAUCCAUAAAACGGGUUACAUGGGUGGGGCUCAUUCACAAAAUCUCACUAAAAAGAAAGACGGCACAUUGAUCAGGUCCAGAAAACUUUUCAUACAGUUUGGAAGUAUGUGGAAAGUCAGGAGCAGACAUUAAUCAAGUAUUUGGAUAAAUGGGUUAAAGAUUAUGGAUUUCAUAGAAAGUUAAGCAGAUCAGAGUGCAGGACAGAGCAGUAGGAGGGGGAACAGCUUCAUAGAUCAGAGUGCGCGUGCCUCUGAUCUGCAGACAGGCUGAUGAGGACUCGCAGAAAGGAGGGGUGAUUUCUCCGUUGUAAGCAGAUAUAACAGCUUUCUCUGCUCUCCGAAUAAUGAUAGGAUGUGUUUUACUGUGUUUUACUGUGUUUUACUGUGUAUUUUAGUGUGUAUUUUAAUGUUUAGGACAUGGACUAAGGUAGAUGUUCAGAAAAAAGCUAUAGACAUUAUCAUUUCUUACAAAGCAGUAGUGGAUCAUUUUGUGCAGGACACACCUCCCUCAUGAAUAAACAUGCCGAUUUCUCUUUUUUAGUUCACUUUCCCCUGUUCAUAAAAAGUUUGAUUGCAGCCUUCUGACCCCACUUCUCAGGUCCCUGCAUUUUUUCUGCUUGUAAAUCAGGAUUGACCCCUUAAAAGCAUUCCUAAGGAUCUCUGGUUCACUAACUCAUCCUUACAUUUUUUUUUAAUGGACAUGUCUGCUAAUCUUUCUAAGUUUCAACUCUCAGGACAAUAAGUGCGGUAAAACUAAACUCCAGCUGGCCCAAGCACAGGUUAAAAUUUUCGGGACAUUUAGUUUCUGUUUCUAGCGAAAUUAUUUCUCUCCCUGGACCUCACCACCUUAUGACCUGAUCAGCCCCCCACCCUCACUCACUCGCUGUAAGCUGCAGCUGCUUGAGCGGCUGAUAGUUGAAACAAUGUCACCUGUGAUUCUCUUGUGCGAAUUCUCCAGAAUCACAUGCAGUAUGCUCCACUCCCUUCCGUCCAAGCAUUAGCAUUAGUCAAACUGUUAUCAGCCUGUUCAUGCUGCUGUUGAAAUGAGACGCAGUUCUUGUCUGUUUCACUUUCGAUGUGUUUUUUUUUCACAAUUUUUAUUUUUUAAUUUUUAUUUCUUUUAUUUUUUUUUCCUGAUUUUUUUUUUUUCUCUACUCUCAUGCCUGGCUCUACUGACACCAUUGAUGAUUUACAUGAUUGUUUGAAGAAAGCUUUGAGAACAAAGGAACGCAUUGAGUCUGCCUCCAGCUCUCUCCUCCCCACAGACUCUGAAUCCCGACCAGAAGGCCCCUGUCGGUGACCUGCUUUACCCUGAAGACCAUUUAACGGACUGAUUGGUCACACCUGAGGUGGACAGGACCCUUCAAGGUUCUCCUCACCAUGCCAACCGCAGUACACAUUGCUGACUGACCCUCCUGGAUUCACGUAAGCCACUGUAAAUUGCUGAGAGCCUACAAGACUGACAUUUUGAGACGCACCCCUGGUUGAAGUCCAACUACGGAGCCGCCGCAGUGUGACACUACUCCUGGCGAGGGGCGCUCCCUGGUGUGUUUCCUCUAGCACUGCUCUCUUCCAGCUACAGUGAGCUUCGAACCAGCUAACAUGGGUCCAGCUGUUGCUCGUGGUUUCAUCUUGUACUUUUAUUCCCUCUUCCUCUGGAGAUCUCACUCACAUCAUCAGUGAGGUCAAGGCCCUUAAAUCACACAUUUCUUCUCAGAUGACUGAUGCCUACUGGUCUGGGUCCCCACUUUAUUGGUUUACUUCUGGUGGAGUGUACUGAUAAAACUAGUCACUCCGCUUCUCUGUGUCUUGUUUUUAUUUUUUAUUUUCGUCACCUGUUUGAUUCCAUGUGUCAAAUGAAUGAUCGCUGUCAGGCCGACUCUAUCAGCAUUAUGCC